UGAUUCAGCGGCGGACGGGUGAGUAAUGCCUAGGAAUCUGCCUGGUAGUGGGGGACAACGUUUCGAAAGGAACGCUAAUACCGCAUACGUCCUACGGGAGAAAGCAGGGGACCUUCGGGCCUUGCGCUAUCAGAUGAGCCUAGGUCGGAUUAGCUAGUUGGUGAGGUAAUGGCUCACCAAGGCGACGAUCCGUAACUGGUCUGAGAGGAUGAUCAGUCACACUGGAACUGAGACACGGUCCAGACUCCUACGGGAGGCAGCAGUGGGGAAUAUUGGACAAUGGGCGAAAGCCUGAUCCAGCCAUGCCGCGUGUGUGAAGAAGGUCUUCGGAUUGUAAAGCACUUUAAGUUGGGAGGAAGGGCAGUAAGUUAAUACCUUGCUGUUUUGACGUUACCGACAGAAUAAGCACCGGCUAACUUCGUGCCAGCAGCCGCGGUAAUACGAAGGGUGCAAGCGUUAAUCGGAAUUACUGGGCGUAAAGCGCGCGUAGGUGGUUUGUUAAGUUGGAUGUGAAAGCCCCGGGCUCAACCUGGGAACUGCAUCCAAAACUGGCAAGCUAGAGUAUGGCAGAGGGUGGUGGAAUUUCCUGUGUAGC
rnacentral:rRNA from 1 species